rnacentral:tRNA from 1 species
UUAGCUAAAGCCAAAAUAUAGGCAUAUUACUGUUAAUAAUAGAUUGAAGGCCCACUUCUUGCUAAG